CCUACGGGAGGCAGCAGUGAGGAAUAUUGGUCAAUGGGCGCGAGCCUGAACCAGCCAAGUAGCGUGAAGGAUGACUGCCCUACGGGUUGUAAACUUCUUUUAUAAAGGAAUAAAGUGAGGCACGUGUGCCGUUUUGGAUGUAGUUUAUGAAUAAGGAUCGGCUAACUCCGUGCCAGCAGCCGCGGUAAUACGGAGGAUCCGAGCGUUAUCCGGAUUUAUGGGGGUUAAAGGGAGCGUAGAUGGGUUGUUAAGUCAGUUGUGAAAGUUUGCGGCUCAACCGUAAAAUUGCAAUUGAUACUGGCAGCCUUUAGUACAGUUGAGGUAGGCCGACUUCGUGGUGUAGCGG
rnacentral:rRNA from 1 species